ensembl:lncRNA
UAGAAAUGAGCUUUAAGUGAUAUUCACACCUCCUAAUCUGAGCCAUUUGCAAUUAUUUUAUAAUCUUACAAGAGAAGCAUUAAGAGCUGAUUGAGACAAGAAAUGCUGCAGUAAUCAUCCCUUCUGCACCAUGUAUGAGCUGUCAUCUCAGCAAGCAGCCCUAUACAAGGGCUUUGUCUGCCACAGCUGUUCACCACCACAGUGACCUCACUGGGAGAAUAUACUGGAACAAGAUAAUGCGCAUCAGAAGAAGGUUUAAAGAAUAAAUGAAGCUCUGGGCAAGAAGUGAACAUGUUGCCACGUGAGGUAACAUCUCAGUGCUUGCUAUGGGAGCAGUCGUCUUCUGACUGGGCCUGAGGGCUGCAAACUAGUGCUGAUGCUGGUCUCCAGCUCAGCAACAUGCAUGGAACAUUAUCUGUCUGUACAGACUGCAGUUGAUGUCAAAGUUGCAGUGAGCCAUGAUGGUUUUUUGCUACUGCAAUUCCCUAGCUUCAGGAAGAUCAAGAAAAGAAUUUAAUUCCAAGAAGCUUUCAUUAUAUUUUGUACUAUGCCCUUUUCUUGGGACAUCAAAAGUUCGUUUCACUUCUCUGACAUUAAAAUAAAUGGUGUUAAUGUAAAAUUUAUUGAAAUUAUAGCUAUAGUAGGUUUUAAGUUUUUUUUUUUUUUUUUAUCUUGGUUUACAAUCCAUACAGGAAGCUUAGCAUGGUCAUAAUGUAUUUAAUUGCAGAAUAAUCGUCAGAAAAACAAACCAAAAAAUCCCAUAAAUUUUGUAAAAGGGAACUACAUUGAAAUGAAGAAACUUAAAGAAGAAACUGAAAAGGAGUGUCAAAAGGUGACAAUAGGAAUUGAGGAAAAAUUUGCAGAAAGCAUGAAUAAAAAAUCUUUUUUUUUUUUUUUCCCCAAAUAAAUGAAAAACAAGAAGUUUGUAAGAAGGAAAUGAGAGAUUGUAGAGAUACUGGAUAACCAGUUAUGCCAAAAGGAUUUAGGGAAGAUGAAGCCCUAAAUGAAACUACAAGCAUUUUUAUAUAUUUAAUGUGAUGAAACUUGGGUUCCUUUCCCAAGGGACUAUGAGAUUUGUUUCAACAAAAUAAUUCAUGGGAAGAAGAUCAAGACUAAAAGGUUGAUAUUGAUAUAUAGGAUAUAUAUAUAUAGGAUGUAGAUAUAAUUUAUGAAAUCAAUAACUUUAAUUCAGAUAUGAGGAAGUCAGACAAUUUACUAUAGAAUGAAAUCUUUUGCUUAAACUGCUUUGAUAUCUCAGAACUGGAAGACAAAUAUGUGAUGCUGAUUAAAAAAAAAAAUCAGGGAGGAUCAAGGAACCUACUUGUUCUGGCAUGAACUUGGCAAAUAUGAACAGAGUAGAAAACCAGAAUUAGCAAACGUAAAUAACUAAUAUACAUUUUGUAGAAGAAAGCAUUGGUCUUUGUAAAGAGAAAUCACACAUAAAAUAUCAAGAAUGAAUGAAGAGCCAGUGAUCAUUUAGAGAAGAGAAAUCCAGCUGCCAAUCUUCUUGCAAUCCCCAAAGGCUUUUUACAGUGUUCCUUAUCAAAGAUCUGUAAAACAGACUAUGUUGCCAUUGAGUAAGAAACAAAGUUUUGAAUGGAUGAAUAAUCACUUAAAACAUAGAGGAAAAAAAUGUAAGUUCAUAUAGUCAUUUUUCUCAGUUGAGAGAAGCAACUAGCAGAGAUGUACAAAAGUGUGUGAUAAACCUAUGGUCCUCAACACUGUCAAAAAUGAGGGCGAAGUGUGGAUGAAGAGUGAAAUAAUGAAGUUUUUUGGCAUUAUAAAGUCAUUCAAGACUUUAUAAUCAAGAGAUGAGGACCAUCUGAGAAAAACUGCAGAACAUAAUAUUUGGUAACAAAAAGCAAUUUAAAUGAAAUGUAAAUAAAUAUGGG